rnacentral:ncRNA from 1 species
GCAGAGUAGGAAAAAGUGCUGUAAGUGUCGCAGAAUGGGAUGUUGUCUGCGAACGAAAAGAGAAAACUCUUGAGAUACUUUUUUCGCAUCCACUGU